AUGGGACAGGACGGCAUGGGGUGCGGGCCACGCAUGUGCCCCGGAACCCACAUCUGUUGGAGGAAGAGCCGGGCUCAGGCCGCCUGCCCCAGACCUCAGCUAGGAGGGGCCUCGCGGGUGGGGGGCCAGGGACACACGGGACAGGACAACCGCUCUGGCCCUGGUCGGGGGUCCCGCCGCGCCUGUUGGUGCUGGUCAGGUCCAGCCGGCGUCACUGAGCAGCCGGCGCUGCUGGACAAGCCACCAAGGGGGUCCCGGUGCUCAACAGCAGGCCGGACGUCUUGGGGUCCGAGCGGGGCAGCCCGGGCUUCCCCUCUGGUCCUGUCUCGCCGGGUCACUGUGGCCGUCCCCGCCCUGGACCAGCAGACCUCGUCCCGGAAGCCAGGAGCCCAACUUGCCGCCAUCCUGUGCGAGGAAGACGCGGCAGCAGCUGGAGGGGGCCGCAGGAGGAAAGACAGGUCCACCUGCCCGCCCGGGCCCGGCAGUGGGGUCUCACUCAGAACAGAGCCUUGGCCUACGUGCCGAGGACCUGGAGGUGCGGGGACGCGGACUCGGCGGCCGAUAGUGGGGGGCAAAGUCCCGCAGGAGGAGCGGCCACAUGCAGGAGGCAGGCGCGGAGCCACGAGGCCGCCAGCCCCGGAGCCAGGCUCAGCCCCAGGUCGCGGUGACGCCGGGCUUCCGCGCCCCAGGACCGAGGGGGACGAGGAGUCUGUGCUGAGCCACAGUGAGGAUUCACUACCGCGGGCCCGCAGCCGGCCGGGCGCUGUGCGACGGGAGCCGCGGCAGACCCCGUGGGGGACCCGGGCGCCAGGCCCCAGGCGGACGCGCUGCUGCGGGCGAGGGCCCCCAGGCCCUGCCCUGAGCCCGUCCAGUUGCCCCGGGGGUCGACUCUGGGAGGGCCGCCCGCCAGGGGGAGCUGGGCCAGGCGGUGGGCCCGCAGGCCUCGCCCUGCUCCCACGGCCCCCGCCCCCAGGCUGGGGGGCCGCCCACCUCCCUCCCCCAGGGCAGCCCGACUGCUCUCAGCAGGGAAGGGACGCCGUGGGUGGCAGCAGCCCCGACAGCCCGGGAGUCGCCUCGGACGCCCCCAGGGCUCCUUACGCGCAAGGAGCCCCGGGGAGACGGGCAGGGGGCGGCCGUCAUACAGGCCCCGUCCCUGUCCCCACCUGCACCCAGAGCCCUGGGACGCUUACUGACCCUCGGCCCCAACCCGGCGGCCCCACACCUGACACUCCACCCAACUGA
rnacentral:lncRNA from 1 species